rnacentral:precursor_RNA from 1 species
AACCUAAGUGAGAAGAGGUAAGGGCUUGAGUAAGCCAUAUGGAGUUGAGCUAUGACAUAAUAGUCAAGUUUAUUAAUGUAUUAUAUGUAUUGCAUUGCAUAAAUGGAAAUAUGAAAUGAUCUUAUUCAAUGGAAAUUUUUAAUAAAACCUAUGAGUUCACAUAUUUUAUAUAUAACUAUUCUCAUGUGCUUUAAUCUCACGAAGUGGUGGACUUACACUUGAUCUUUGUUUUCUUUCCACCUUUGGGACACUUCGGUGUUUUACAGAUAGUCAGUAACCUUUAGACGAUGGUAGUUCCGAUGAGGAGAUAUGUUCGUGUGGAGAAUAUUAUCUGGAUCAUCUUUGAGGUGUUAGGCGAUGAUUGAGAAUUCGUGAAGACUAGUUGGGAUUUAGGCGAGGAGGAGCAGCUUAGUUGAUUGAGAUCAUCUAUCUCACUUAAAAAUACCAAAAACUACUUAAGUUUUUUCAAUUUUAUAGAAAUUAAGGCAGCUUAAGAGAAGAGAUUGUGAGACUGAGGCAGGCGAGUUUUGCAUUUUAAGCUAUGCAGAAUAGGUGAGUUCCGCAAUCUCCUCUCUUAAGUUGUUUAAAUUUUUAUGAAAUUCGUACAACUUAAUAACAUGAAUUCGUUGUUGUUGUUGUUUUUUUUUUUUUUUUAAUUUUGAUUUUUAUUUAUUACAGAUAUUCGGAUGCUCAAAAAAUGAGCUAAUUCCUCUCGCUAAUAGAACAAUAAGGUACAUGCAUACAUGAUUAAUUAAUUCAUGGUCACAAACAUAUAUAUAUAUGUAUAUAUGUAUGUAUAGAUAUAUAGAUAUAUGUAUGUAUAGAUAUAUGUAUAUAUCUAUACAUACAUCUAUAUGUAUAUAUCUAUACAUACAUAUAUACAUAUAUGUAUGUAUAUAUACAUAUAUGUAUAACUCUUAAAGUGUGACCUUUAUUUCAAAUCCUUCCAUUAUAUAGUACAACAAAGGAAACUCAGUUGUAAGGCAAAAAAAAGCUAUAGAGUAGUUUGUUAUAAACAUUUUUUUUUCUUUUUUUAUACUUUCCUAAGAAGCCUUUGGAUAUUGGGGAGUUCUAUGAAGAGCUAGCUAGGAGUUUCACAUCAAAAAACAAAAAUAUACAUAUAUCAAAAGAGAAAAAUAGAAAAUAUUAAAGUGUGACCUUUAUUUCAGAUCCUUCCAUUAUAUAGUACAACAAAGGAAACUCAGUUGUAAGGCAAAAAAAAGCUAUAGAGUAGUUUGUUAUAAACAUUUUUUUUCUUUUUUUAUACUUUCCUCCUAAGAAGCCUUUGGAUAUUGGGGAGUUCUAUGAAGAGCUAGCUAGGAGUUUCACAUCAAAAAACAAAAAUAUACAUAUAUCAAAAGAGAAAAAUAGAAAAUAUUGGGAGCUCUCAAUUGAUUACUGAACUUGGAAAUCAAGUAAAGGAAAGGUGGGAACAUUUUUGUUAAAAUAUAUAUGAAAUUAUUAAAUUCAUCAAUUCUUAUCAAUGUAAACUUUUUGGAUAAAUGGUGAUCUCCCGAACUAAAGACACUGACUUAAAACCUAAAAACUAACGAAACAGGGAUCUGAAAAGGGGAGGAUCGAUCUUGGAGUGACUGGGAUCGAUCCUGACUAGGGUAGGAUCGAUCCUGCCAGAGGAAGAUCGAUCCUAGAUGGUCAAGAUUGAUCCUAACAGUCUGGGAUUGAUCAUGGUUUGAACAUGAUCAAUCAUAGACCGGCAGAAACGCUUCUCGAUGCAUCUAGAACACUCCUAAAUCCCAAAACGACACACCCAAAAAUUAGAACAAUUCCAAAGGUCUCUAGAACAAUUUAGUGUUCAACCUAAUCGAAUACUACGUUCUAAGACAAGGACAAGAGAAUGUAUUAUAGCAUUUCUUAAAAAAUAAAAAUAAAACCACUUAAAACACCUCACGUCAGGUUAGGCAGUGAUUAAUAAGUGUGAAGAAUAUUAUUACUUUUUUGUAAUAUAACCUCUAAUCUAUUGCACUGUUACAUGUUCUGACUGAAAUAUAUAUAUAUAUUUUGCUUACCGACUAAAAUAUAUUUGGCACAAAAAAUAAUUUCUUUUUUUUCUUUUCGAGACAUCUUAAAUUAACUAACUCUUAUACUUAUUAUUAUUAUUUCUUUUUUGCAUCAAACUAACAAUCUUAUACUAGAGAGGAAGAAACCGGAUCAACAGAGGGUGACAAGUAAGAUUACUUAAUAAGGUAUAAUUGAAAAUUGUGCAUUUAAUUAUAGCGAUCCACCAACCAAUCAAAGGGUCCCCUUUCCAAGCACUGUUACAUGGAAAUGUCAAUGCCAAAAUCAACGUGGGAGGUGAAGAAUUGACCAGGAUGGAGAAGACUAGGCAAAUUUUCCCAAAAAAAAAAAUAAACGAACAAAUAUUUUGAUAUACCAGAAAAGAAAGAGACCGUUGGGGAGGAAAUGUAGUACAAGAUAUAUAUUCCAGUACAAUUAACCAGUACAAAUCUCAUCUGCAUAAACCAUUUUAAUAUUUGGUCCUGCAGCACAAUCUCUGAAUGAUCUGGCAAUUGUAAAAUGGUAGUACAAAUCAAUACAACUCCGUGUAGUACUAUAUAUACAUUCGAUCUAUCGGCUUAUAUUUACAUAUAUAAUUCGCCAGGAUGCUUGGAUCUAAAUGCAGCUGGAGAACUAAGCAUGGGAGACUCCCCAGUUUGUGAAACAUCAUUGAGUGCAGCGUUGAUGAAAAGUCCUAUCAAUUAAUCCUAUUGUUGUUUAUGGGACAGUUUCGUUAGCCCUGCACUCAAUCAUGUUUCUAUACGGGACAGUACUGCUACCGGCCGGAGAAUGUUAAACGACAGGUUCUUUCUAGAUCUGUUUCUUUCCCUUGUUUGAUUUUUGAGGCUCCAUUAGUUGUCCGGGAAGAGGUGUUGGUGAACAUUAGAGAUUAUAUUACAAAAGAAGUGUUGGUCAUGAAGUUUAAAUAGCAUAUAUAGUUCACAAGCUAUUGUUCAA